AUUGCCUACGGGGGGCAGCAGUGAGGAAUAUUGGUCAAUGGGCGGAAGCCUGAACCAGCCAAGUCGCGUGAGGGAAGAAGGCCCUGCGGGUCGCAGACCUCUUUGGACGGGGAGCAAGGCCGCCGACGUGUCGGCGGAAGGAGAGUACCCGUAGAACAAGCAUCGGCUAACUCCGUGCCAGCAGCCGCGGUAAUACGGAGGAUGCGAGCGUUAUCCGGAUUUAUUGGGUUUAAAGGGUGCGCAGGCGGAAGCGCAAGUCAGCGGUAAAAUUGAGAGGCUCAACCUCUUCCCGCCGUUGAAACUGG
rnacentral:rRNA from 1 species